UUUAUUUCUUCCAACUUGGAGCUCCACUCCAUCUGUAGUGGCCAUCUUCCUGAGUUGUCAUGGCCAAUCAGAUGCUGAAGCAAAUGCUUUUAAACUAUCAGGGUUACAUUGGUGCAGCCCUAGUUUUAAGGAGAUUGAGAGUUUUUACUGGACCUCACCUCUACAGCAUCUAUCCUCAUGAAUAAACUGAUAACUUGCCUCAUCACCAUGGAUGCUUAGCAGCAAAGGCUGUAUUUGAAGAUAUUCUAGGCCAGAUAUGGGAGAAGAGGAAGCAAAGAAGAUGGUAAGUGAAGCCACUGCAGCUGGCUUCUUCAACAACCUGGGCUCUGGAAGCCACAUUGAUCUCAGCAUUAUAGGCAAGAGAAAGGUAGAUUUUCUUGGCCGAUUCACAGUGCCCAAAAAGAAGGGGACUAGAUUUGGCAGGUACAGGUGUGAGAAAAGGGACCACUGCAGUCCUCACCAAAGAAGCCACUACUUUUUCGAGGCGUUGGAAUAAAAGUCCAACCAAUGGACA
rnacentral:lncRNA from 1 species